rnacentral:rRNA from 1 species
UGUGCAGCAGGCGCGAAAACUUUACAAUGCUGGAAACAGCGAUAAGGGAACCUCGAGUGCCGAGAUACAAUCUCGGCUGUCUAGUUGCCUAAAAAGCAAUUGAUAGCAAGGGCCGGGCAAGACCGGUGCCAGCCGCCGCGGUAACACCGGCGGCUCGAGUGGUAACCGCUUUUAUUGGGUCUAAAGGGUCUGUAGCCGGCUUGGUUAGUCUCUUGGGAAAUCUGGCUGCUCAACAGUCAGGCUUUCAGGGGAUACUGCUAAAGCUCGAGACCGGGAGAGGUGAGAGGUACUUCAGGGGUAGGGGUGAAAUCUUGUAAUCCUUGAAGGACCACCAGUGGCGAAGGCGUCUCACCAGAACGGAUCUGACGGCAAGGGACGAAAGCUAGGGGCACGAACCGGAUUAGAUACCCCGGUAGG